ACUUAAUUUGAAUUAAUUUGAAUUAAUUUUAUUUAAAUUGAUUUAAUUAUAUUUAAUAGUGUUUCCUAAUAAAAUCAUAAUUUGAUUUAAUUUGAUAUAAUAGUGUUUCCUAAUAAAAUUUUUGUUAAUUGUAUAUAUAAUUAUAUUUAAUUGGUAUAAUUUGUUAAUUGGUAUAAUUUGAUUUAAUUUGAUUUAAUAGUGUUUCCUAAUAAAAUAUUUAUUCUAU
rnacentral:lncRNA from 1 species